rnacentral:rRNA from 1 species
GAUGAACGCUGGCGGCGUGCCUAAUACAUGCAAGUCGAGCGAACAGACGAGGAGCUUGCUCCUCUGACGUUAGCGGCGGACGGGUGAGUAACACGUGGAUAACCUACCUAUAAGACUGGGAUAACUUCGGGAAACCGGAGCUAAUACCGGAUAAUAUAUUGAACCGCAUGGUUCAAUAGUGAAAGACGGUUUUGCUGUCACUUAUAGAUGGAUCCGCGCCGCAUUAGCUAGUUGGUAAGGUAACGGCUUACCAAGGCAACGAUGCGUAGCCGACCUGAGAGGGGUAUCGGCCACACUGGAACUCAGACACGGUCCAGACUCCUACGGGAGGCAGCAGUAGGGAAUCUUCCGCAAUGGGCGAAAGCCUGACGGAGCAACGCCGCGUGAGUGAUGAAGGUCUUCGGAUCGUAAAACUCUGUUAUUAGGGAAGAACAAAUGUGUAAGUAACUAUGCACGUCUUGACGGUACCUAAUCAGAAAGCCACGGCUAACUACGUG